UGUAGCGUAAAGGAUAGCGUGUUGGACUACUAAUCCUAAGUGUGUGGUUUCGAAUCCCACCUGAAAAG